AGUGAACGCUGGCGGUAGGCCUAACACAUGCAAGUCGAACGGCAGCACAGGAGAGCUUGCUCUCUGGGUGGCGAGUGGCGGACGGGUGAGGAAUACAUCGGAAUCUACUUUUUCGUGGGGGAUAACGUAGGGAAACUUACGCUAAUACCGCAUACGACCUACGGGUGAAAGCAGGGGACCUUCGGGCCUUGCGCGAUUGAAUGAGCCGAUGUCGGAUUAGCUAGUUGGCGGGGUAAAGGCCCACCAAGGCGACGAUCCGUAGCUGGUCUGGGAGGAUGAUCAGCCACAAUGGAACUGAGACCCGGUCCAGACUCCUACGGGAGGCAGCAGUGGGGAAUAUUGGACAAUGGGCGCAAGCCUGAUCCAGCCAUACCGCGUGGGUGAAGAAGGCCUUCGGGUUGUAAAGCCCUUUUGUUGGGAAAGAAAUCCAGCUGGCUAAUACCCGGUUGGGAUGACGGUACCCAAAGAAUAAGCACCGGCUAACUUCGUGCCAGCAGCCGCCGUAA
rnacentral:rRNA from 1 species